rnacentral:lncRNA from 1 species
AAAAUUGAGUAUGGUUGGGUUAAACAUAACAGCUUGAGUGGAAAGAUGUGUAUUUUUUUAAUUGGCAUUUUAUGUUUGCACAUAAAAGUGUCAUGAUUUGGCUCAGUGCAUUACAAAAAAGAAUUAGGACAUACCAAAGACAAGAAAAACUAAUGCAUUUAAGUGCUUGUUUGAGGUGUGCGUCAGUUUUGUAUGGUUUUCUUAAGGAUCGGAGGAGGAGGCGGGGGUGAAGCUAUGUUGACCAUGGAUGGUCCGUUCACCGAAAAGUUAUAUUACGUAUAAGGUAAAAUAUUAUUAAUUAUUGAUUAAAAAUAGACUUUGAACACCCUUGCAUAAUCCACUGGCAAAGAGCCUUCAAAAUUUAAAAAUCCUUAUUGAAUUUCUUGGCUUCGCAACUGAGUGGAGGGCCCUAAAAGGUUCUUACUCUCAAAAGUUCGGUGAAUGCACAAAAUUGAGAUACAAGAUUGACAUAAGUGCCUAGAAGAGUGGCAAACAUAACUUUGUAUUCUUUUGUCUUUUAAAUUCAAAAUAUAAUUGAAUUUUUUUGCAGAGAUGAGGAAGGGGGGCGUGAACUAGCAGCAUAAACGCAGUCCUCCAACCGUUACAGGGAAGGAUGGGGACAGGACAUCCAAAUGGGACAUGGAAAUCUAUAUAGCAAUCAAGGUAGUAGGUCCCUCUGCUCCCUUACCACCCACCCCCCUUCAUGUUAUUGGAUAUCACCAUCCCCUAAAACUCCCGAAGGUAGUAGGUCCCUGUGCUCCCUCACCACCCACCCCCUUCAUGUUAUUGGAUAUCACCAUCCCCCAAAACUCCCGAAAUUUCAGCCCCAUAAUAAAAUAUGUUCGUUCAUUUUGGACUUGCUAAAGCUGUGUGGUUAUUGGUUGUUGAUUCCUCAUAUAACAAAAAAAGAAAAAAAGAAAAAAAAUGAGAGUAAUGGUAGAGCUCAUACAUUUCGUGGUGAUCUUAAAUGAGUUUGAAGAUUGUGAAAUGAAUGAAGUUAGGAGGACCCCGCUUAUUUACUCUGUCUUUGUCUUUAAAAUUUGUCCUGCAUUCUCAUUAAUGUUUGUGUGCAGGUUGCAGUAUAUGCUAACUAAUGCAUCACUAACAACACAUUCAUUUCCCUAUUGGAGUACUAACCUUUACUUACUUCCACUUGGACAAAAAAUGAAAUUAUAAAAAGAGAAAACGAUAACUACCUUUUUAUAGUUGGCCGCCAACUUUUGAAAUACAAUUGAAAUAUUUUAUGACAAAAAGAUGAGCUCAAAUUUGGAAAUCCUUGAUAGUGGGAAAACUGAAAAAUUGGUGAUGUGCAC